UCCAACAACUCCAUUCGAACGUCAAACGACAUCCGGUGACGCGGGAAACACGAACAAAAUGUAAACAUGAAAUUUCAUCGUGGUGCUUCUCGAAUCGUCGUGUAGUCUUUGCUAAUAUUAGCCUGAACAGGUCUGUGAUGGGCUCAUCUUUACUUCCGGUUGCUCAGCAGCUUUUGAAAGACCUUCAGCGAGCCUACACAGAGACAAACCAGAUACCAGAUGACCUACUAAUAGCGUUGCGGUUUGUGUUUGGCUCAUGUGCUCUGCAGGCAUUGGACUUGGUGGACCAGCGGUCUGUCACAUGUGUGUCCUCACCCAGCGGUCGAAAGGCUUUUCAGGUAUUAGGCGGAUCAGGCCGACUGUACACUUGCUUCACAUCCUGUCAGUAUUGCCCGUGCCCCGCCUUCUCUUUCUCUGUGCUCAGGAGAAAUGAGAGUCUGAUGUGUAAGCACCUCCUGGCUGCCUGCCUGAGUCAGGCCAUGGGUUUGUGCCAACAAGAGCAGGUCUCAGAUCAGCAGAUGACCCACAUUCUCUCAGGGCAAACUGAGGCCAGCACAUAAAUAGCUGAUCCUGGAAUAGAGAGGUUCGGCACUCUGGACUGCAUCACAACAACAAACAAUAAGACCCUGCUCUCUUAACUACUUACAAAAAACAAAGUACUCAUAUCGAUAAAGGAAGAAAACGUCAGCUUGUACAGUGCAGUACAGAUUCGUCUCCAUUGGAAUGUCCAAGCAGAAGAAAGAAAGUCAGACACAUCUGGGUUGGCAUGAGGGUCACCCCUUUGAUGGGACUGACUGCACACCACUGACAGACAGACCACACAGUAGUUCAUGUUCAGAAGUUAAGAAGCGCUGUCCUAAAAAUUAACUAAUUGAUUAAAGAUCAAUAGGUUGACCUGUAAUGUGUUACUGGUCUAUCAAUCCACUAUGCUGUCACCUUUAAGGAAAGGUCAUUCAAUGUUCAAUAAACACGCUUAAAGAUGAUAAAUAAAUGAGAAUAAAAUAAACUGCCGCUUUCACACAUACAGCCUUUUCUGGAAAACUAACGACAAUUAACGCAGCUGUGGUAGGUUUUUUUUUUUUUAUUACUAAUUCCAGGUCAAUAUUACACAAAGAAUAAUGUAAUAAAUUAACACUAAAUAUGUACAAAUUGACAAUAUCAAAGAAGUUUGCUAGAUUUACACAGCUUAAUAAAUUGGAAAUGUGUCAUCAUAGUCUGUGAAAAAGGUCUGUUGGAACACCCGGUAUGGUGAAUGUAGAAUAGCAAGUACCGCGUUACAGGUAAAAUAGCCAAUCACUUUUUAGAUACAGACAUCAACUGUCAGUUAACUCCAGAACGUGCAUGCGCAUUAGCUGGACCAGCCUGAAAAUUAUGAGCUAAACGAGCACAUUGCCUUGAAACGGACUUUGAUUGCAUCAUGCAAAAGCAACAGUCUUGGUUACUGACACUAUUGUAGAAAUACAGCCAUCAUUUCUUUAUUAUAAAACCAAAAGUGUCCUGUGGGUGUGGGGUCAGGGGGUGUUGAAACAGAAAUAAAAUGAGUUGCAUUCGGCUGGUCGUGUUAUCCCAACAUAUUUUACAUGAACUUUAUGUAAAAUGAAACAGCUUUCAUUAGACUACUGAAAUUACUAGAUUCCUCAUUUAAUUGUGGUGUACAUGGUUUAAACAUAUUUUACAGAAGUACUAUUCAUUAAAACUUUUUUAAUGAGGAAAGAAAUUACAGAGAGCAUUUUGCAGUGUUUAAUUUCUUCACCACUAAAGCGCCACCAAAUAGAAUUGCAAAAAUAUCAACUGUGUGUUAUUGGUCAGACACAGAGAUAGUCCCGCCCAAAAUAUAUGCCAUUGGUUUAUGCCAUUGGUGUGCAUGUAAAUGCACUGAUUGUUUGUUUACAUGCACACCAAUAUGCUAUUAACUACCAAAAAUCAUUGUAUUAAAAAAUGUUGACAAUGCAAGAAAAUUGCGUUUACAUUAGUUCUGAAAUCUUCAGAUUAUUCUUUACUUUUGAUGUCAAAAUUGUAACACAACAAUUGCAUACAUUGAAUAAGCCGGUAAGAACACCGGUAAAUGUGUUUACAUGCAACGCGAAGUUGGGGUAAUGGGCAAAAAUCUACCUGUGUUGAUCAGUUUAUGCUUAGACAGUUUAUGACCUUACCCGAUAAAGGAAAACCGUUUAAGGCGUUUACAUGCCUUUACAUGUUGUCAGUUUAUUAAGCAUAAUCGGUGUAAGAACGUGCAUAUAAACGUGCUAAUUGUUGUUAUGUCAAGCUGGUCUAAAUACCUAAACAAACUGUAAAAAAAGUUUUGAUAGCACCACAGAGCCACAGUGUUUACACUUUUCAGGGGAAUCAACCUACAAAAGGCUUAUGUAUUGUUGGCUCUCUGUACAUUAAGCUGGGAUAGGAGAAAGUAUUUUAACAUAAAAAAAUGCUACACUUUUUACAGUAUAGUAAAUGAGAGUGUGACAGGGAGGAGGGUGGGGCCGUGCCGUGAGGACACACGCAUGGCCCUGAAUCGGGCUAAUCAGCCGGGAGGGGAAUAAAGACGAGCCGGAGGUGCCAGUUCAAGAGAAAGAGAGAACUUCAUGCUCAGUGUGUCAAUGUGUUUGUGUUUAAGCUGAUUUGAGGUCAUUUAUGUUAUUAAAACUUUACGUUGACUGUUCAGCUGGUUCCCGCCUCCUCCAUGACCACCGUUACAUUGGUGCCGAAACCCGGGAAGGAGGAGGGAUGCGCUGUCGUGGAGUCCUCGCCACUGCCAUCUGCCAUGGGAGCAGCCGCGGCCGUCUACCUGGGGAUGGAGGGGUCGCCGCCGAGAGUUGGAGGAACGGCUGUUGUCCACCGAGAAAGGGCAGGAGCCUUUCCGUCCGCCAGGGGAGGAGCGAGCUGUGGUCCACCAGAGGUCAGAGGAGUGGCUGAGGACCAGGCGACUGUGUGUCCGGGGAUCAGCGAGCCAGUUUUCACUCUCUCUCCUCUCGCUCCCGCUCGCCCAUUCCCUCUCCCCUCUCCCUCCCCUCAUCUCUCCCCAGGUUCCCAGGAGGCGGAAUGGCCGGAAGGGCAGCGUCUCCCCUCCAGAGAUGGGGAGUAGGCCAGUGCAGAUGGCGCCCUGGCCUGAAUCAGGUGGGGGAGGAGUGUGACGAGCUCUGAGUCAACUAAUCAGCGGGAGAGAGAGAUAAAGGGAAGCUGGAGAUGCCAGUUCGAGAGAGAGAGAGAAAGACGGCCGCUGUGUGUGUGUGUGUCUAUGUGUUUGUGUUUACAUUGAUUUAAGCUAAUUUAUAUUAUUAAAAUUUACGUUGACUGUUCAGCCGGUUCCCGCCUCCUCCUUGCCCACCUUUACCCGUUACAUUGGUGCCGAAACCCAGGAAGGAGGAGGGAUGCACUGUCACGGAGUCCUCGCCACUGCCAUUCGCCAGGGGAGCAGCCGAGGCCGUCUGCCUGGGGACGGAGGGGUCACUGGCAGCCGCAGAGAGUUGGAGGAACUGCUGUCGUUCGCUGAGAAAGGGGAGGAGCCGUUCCAUCCACCAGGGGUGGAGCGAGCUGUCAUCCACCAGAGGUCGGAGAAGUGGCUGAGGACCAGGCGAUGGUGUGGCCGGGGACCGGCGAGCCAGUUUUCUCUCUCUCCUCUCUCUCUCUCUCUCUGUCGCUCCACCUCGCUCUUUCCCUCUCCCCUUUCCCUCCUGUUGUCUCUCCCAGGGCUCCAGAAAGGUAGGGAAGACCUGCUGGCAGGCACGGCUGGAAGGGCAACACCCCCUCUCCAGGAAGGGAGGGGAGUACGUCAUGCCGGGUCUAACGGCCCAACAACUUUGAAAACAAAUGUUUAUAUAUGCUUAAAUAUGUGGGCCCCAGAGCUUAUACAAAGCCCCCUCAACAGGGCCCCGUGACUAUGAGGGCCCCCAGCCCUCUUAUAGGAGCAUUUUGUCAUCCUGUUUCUAAUUACAUUUUUUGAGCAGAUCUUUAACCUUAUAACGCCACACAUUUCAUAUUAGAUACAUGACUUUCUAAAGCCUCUACAUCAUCAUCGCGAUGUGUAUGAGAUGUCUACUGUCUCCUGGUGAAAGUUUCCAUGCUCUUCUGGAAGUAGAAGACCUUGUUAUAUUAUAAAAAUAGGUUUAAACAGGUUUAAAAAAUAUAAUUUUCGGACUAUUAUUUCAUAUGUUAGGCUUUAUAUGGUUAAGCUUUAUUCUUUGUAUAAAAGGGCUGUCGAACAAAAACUGUAUUAUACUAUUCAUUGCUAUAACUGCAUGUUUGCCCUACAUUACAAAAAAUAACUUUGCUUAGGUGAUUGGGGAAAAGAAAAUAUUGAUAUUUUAAUUUGUGUGGUUCAAAAGUUCUGAUUGAACUAGAUAUGUUAAGUUUGUCAAGACAAACUAUAAUGUUGGUCUGACAAAACCUUGUCUGAAAGUUUAAAAUAGUUUGAAAUGCUUGAAGUUAGAAAUGUUUGCAGGUUUUACAGUAAGAAAGAAUGAAAGAAGAGAGCAUCUUAAAGGGCUUGUGUGUAAGUUUUGACAGCUGAAGUUUGAAAUCAUGAACAUUCCAAAAAUCGUAGCUCAUUUUAACAUUCUGUCAAUGUAAUGUAGUUUAUGAGAUUUUGAAAAGGCUUAAAUUAUGCCUUUGCAGGGCUUUUCAAUGGAAGAAUAAUAAUGGUAGCCAAGCUGUAGGGUCAUUCCAAACAGAAUUUCAUCAAAAGUUACCAAAUGACCACUGGUUUUGAGCCCCACACCUUUCAGCCAUUCAAGCUCUCACAAUGGAGGGUAAAGUCUUUUGAAGGAAACAGUGUGUGGGGAUGAUCACUUCUGAACAGAAAGCACCCUAUCAUUCAGAUGAGUUGAAAAGAUAGCUGUUUCUCACCCACACCUAUUAUAUCAAAGUCAUGCACAUCUGUGAUGGCAUGAGGGUGAGGAAAUAAUAAGAGAAUUUUCAUUUUUGGGUGAACUAUCACUUUAAAGUGUUUGAUGAAGUUAAAAUAUGUAAUAAUUUAUUUUGGCCCCUGUAAAUAUGUGCAUUUUGUAUGCAUAAUUGUAGUAUUUACAUUGAGUUUACAUUAUCUAUGACAAACGUUAAAAUGGUACUGUCUGUUUACGAACAGUGGCUGUUAUUUCUUUACCACAUCUGUACAGUGUGUUUGAAUUAAUCUGACUGUAAAUAACAGAACAGGAAUUAAAAGAGACUUAAAUCAAUGAAACAGAUUGUGUA